UAGGGAAUCUUCCACAAUGGGCGCAAGCCUGAUGGAGCAGCACCGCGUGAGUGAAGAAGGGUUUCGGCUCGUAAAGCUCUGUUGUUAAAGAAGAACACGUAUGAGAGUAACUGUUCAUACGUUGACGGUAUUUAACCAGAAAGUCACGGCUAACUACGUGCCAGCAGCCGCGGUAAUACGUAGGUGGCAAGCGUUAUCCGGAUUUAUUGGGCGUAAAGAGAGUGCAGGCGGUUUUCUAAGUCUGAUGUGAAAGCCUUCGGCUUAACCGGAGAAGUGCAUCGGAAACUGGAUAACUUGAGUGCAGAAGAGGGUAGUGGAACUCCAUGUGUAGCGGUGGAAUGCGUAGAUAUAUGGAAGAACACCAGUGGCGAAGGCGGCUACCUGGUCUGCAACUGACGCUGAGACUCGAAAGCAUGGGUAGCGAACAGGAUUAGAUACCCUGGUAGUCCAUGCCGUAAACGAUGAGUGCUAGGUGUUGGAGGGUUUCCGCCCUUCAGUGCCGGAGCUAACGCAUUAAGCACUCCGCCUGGGGAGUACGACCGCAAGGNU
rnacentral:rRNA from 1 species